rnacentral:rRNA from 1 species
UGGGGAAUAUUGGACAAUGGGCGCAAGCCUGAUCCAGCCACGCCGCGUGAGUGAUGAAGGCCUUCGGGUCGUAAAGCUCUGUGGGGAGGGACGAACCGCCGGGGGUUAAUACCCUCCGGCAUGACGGUACCUCCUUAGCAAGCACCGGCUAACUUCGUGCCAGCAGCCGCGGUAAUACGAAGGGUGCAAACGUUGCUCGGAAUCAUUGGGCGUAAAGCGCACGUAGGCGGCUUUGCAAGUCGGACGUGAAAUCCCUCAGCUCAACUGAGGACGUGCAUCCGAAACUGCAAGGCUUGAGUACUGAAGAGGAUCGCGGAAUUCCCGGUGUAGAGGUGAAAUUCGUAGAUAUCGGGAGGAACACCAGUGGCGAAGGCGGCGAUCUGGGCAGAUACUGACGCUGAGGUGCGAAAGCGUGGGGAGCAAACA